ACGACCUGCACCACCAACCGGAUAGGAGUUUGGAAGCGAAAUCAUCGAGGUCAAGUGAGGGAGAGGACGGUUAGGGCAUUCUUCUCUGGCACUUAGUGGAAAGGUUUUAGAUAAGCUGACAGCAAAUUUGAACUCAUAACUGAGCUGGAAAAGAAAGGAAGAUGCUUCUGAUAAACAACUGCGCGCAGCUUGGUAGUCAGGUGGUGAUGACUAGAUUGGGAAGAGAGUUGGUUGGUCUGGAAAAAAAACGCCCAAUGCCCUUGCAUAUAUUACAAUUUACAGAGCUACAUUAAUAGUGUCUGUCAGUACACAUCAUCUGAAUGGACAAAACUUAAGGACAACAAACAAGAAGCCAUCAACAUUUUCUAAUUUGAAUUCGACAAGGUACCUCUUUGUUUACUAUCCUGCAAGGCUUUUACUGCCAUGCAAAACUGCUAUUAAUAAUGAAUCCCUGCAAAACUUUGCAUAAAAAAUAAAUUUGGUUCAUGUAAAGAGCAAUAUUUGUGUUAUGUUAAGCAUGUG